AAAUACUACAUUUGAACAAAAGAAAUUACACUUUAAACCUUCUAAACUCGAACCAAAUCUCAUAGUGAUUGAAAAGUAAACUAUCAUGAGUAUGUUUUCCCAUAUAUUCAAGCCCUAAACUUUUAAGCCUCUUACUACACUCGUCCCCUCCCAAUCUCGAACAAAAUUUCACAUUGUGCGACACAAAUAUUCUUCCAUCCAACGGUUUUAAUCUACCAACCAAUCGUUCUAAUCCAACCCACACAAGUUUAUCAGGCAUAUGAAGAAACACAGCACUAGCAUAUAUCAAGUCAUAAUCGAAACCCGACCCGAAUCUUUCAAAAACCAUAUCUUCACCUUUUACAAUCAAAGGGCGUUUUUGAAGUAACCCGUGGGCCGGAAGUUCAUACCUAAAUGCAGCCAUAAGAGAGAGCUCGUCUCUUUCUAGACAGUGAAAGUGUUCUGGGAUCAAGUAGUCGAUAAAAUGCAGCCCAACGCGAAGGGUGCCGCAACCGAUUUCGAGAACGCGUGAUUCAGGGGUGAUUUUGGAAGAUUCUGCAAGAAAUUCGAAGACGUCUCGACCACCAGCCCAGGGCUCACCGUAGUUACUGUGGUGCUCUUCCACUAGGAGUUCAUUAGGGCAUGGUAAUGAUGUGUGGUUCUUUGCUGCUGCUUCUUCUUCAUAGUGUGAUAUUCCUUUGUACCUGUUGAUGCUGGGUCAUAAUGAUCGGAUUUAUCAGUUGUUACUAGGGCUGCAAAUGAACCAAACGUUCAGCGAACAGUUCGUGAACCGUUCGGCGAACAGUUCGUUCACUUGUUAAACAAACGAACACGAACAAGAAUUUUCGUUCGUUUGGUUAAAUGAACAAAUAUGAACAGAGGCCACGUUCGUUCAUUUAUGUUCGUGAACGUUCGGUAACGUGUUCGUUUGUGUUCCAUAGUUCGUUAGUGUUUUUAGCUUUUAUAUUUUAUUUAAAUACUUCAAAAAUCCGACAAAUAAAAUAUUUAAUAAGCGUCAGUGUAUUAAACAUUUUGUUCUUGAAUGCUUGUUUGUGUUCAUUUGUUUCCAUUUGUGUUCAUGAACAUUAGUUUGUGCUCAUUUGUGUUCAUCAACGUUCGUUUUGUCCAUUGCCUAAACGUUCGUGUUCGUGUUCAUUCGGUUCAUUUGCAGCCCUUGUUACUGCAAAAAUAACUCGAUUUAAACCCUAAUUCACGAUAUCGUAGAAAUAAUUCGAUUUAAACCCUGAUUAACGAGAUAUGUAAUCUCAGGAGACCAUAAUUUGAUGUUAGAAUACUAACUUCAAUCAUAGUUGUCAAUAGCGGCUACAACGCUCGCUACAGUGCGCUAUGUAGCGUAUAGUUCAUAUGUCGCUAUAUAGUAUAUGUCGAUAAAUAGCAACAUUUUUUUAUUUCUAUAAGAAAUUUCUCAUCUCCACUGCUCAACACUUCAGGUUUGGCCUUAUAACAUAUAUUUUGCUCAUCUCUACCGCUCGACAUUUAUUUUUCUAUUCAUCUACUUAACCGCUAAACAUGAAAUGGCGGGCGCUAUUUCUUCGCUAUCGCUACGAAGCAUAUAAGUAGCUUGUCGCUACCAUUGUUAGCUAUUGACAACUAUGAUAUCAACAGAGCAGAUUGUAAUUCGCUCGAUUUAAACCCUAAUUCACGAGACUGUAAUCUCAGGAGACUAAAUCUAAUGUUAGAAUACUAAUUUCAACAGAGCACAUUGUAAUUCACUCGAUUUAAACCCUAAUUCACGAAAUCUCAAUCCACGUACACAAUAACGUAUGAUUAGAAUACUGAUCUCAACAAAGCAUAUUGAAAUUCGCAACUAUAUACGCAAACUUGAAAAAAAUUCAGUAAAUCACAAAAACAAAAUCAAAGAGACGGAAUGAAGUAAUAUUACUGGAUCAAAUCCUGGAGUUGCUGAGCACGAGUGCGAGGAUUAAUGCCUUUACGAAGAACAUUAUCUUGCAUAUGAAGUCCGUUGACUUCGAUCUGAGAUUUGACCCAUUGUAUAUCCUCCGCCGUUGCAGAGAUCUGUUUCUGUUGUUGUUGUUGAGGGCUAGUUUGGACGGUGGGACAAGAACAGGGUGGAGGAGAGUAUGAAAGGGAGGACAUGAGAAAGAAGAUGAAUAUGACGGCGCCGGAGACGGAGAGGAUCAACGUCGGAACGGUUAUCACGACGGUUUUCGAUGGCGCCAUGUGGUAGUGGCAGUGAAGUGGAAAGGAAGGAUGCGUAGAUCUCGACGG
rnacentral:lncRNA from 1 species